rnacentral:rRNA from 1 species
AUUGAACGCUGGCGGCAGGCCUAACACAUGCAAGUCGAGCGGAUGAAGGGAGCUUGCUCCUGGAUUCAGCGGCGGACGGGUGAGUAAUGCCUAGGAAUCUGCCUGGUAGUGGGGGAUAACGUCCGGAAACGGGCGCUAAUACCGCAUACGUCCUGAUGGAGAAAGUGGGUGAUCUUCGGACCUCACGCUAUCAGAUGAGCCUAGGUCGGAUUAGCUAGUUGGUGGGGUAAAGGCCUACCAAGGCGACGAUCCGUAACUGGUCUGAGAGGAUGAUCAGUCACACUGGAACUGAGACACGGUCCAGACUCCUACGGGAGGCAGCAGUGGGGAAUAUUGGACAAUGGGCGAAAGCCUGAUCCAGCAAUGCCGCGUGUGUGAAGAAGGUCUUCGGAUUGUAAAGCACUUUAAGUUGGGAGGAAGGGAAGUAAGUUAAUACCUUGCUGUUUUGACGUUACCAACAGAAUAAGCACCGGCUAACUUCGUG